rnacentral:rRNA from 1 species
GAUGAACGCUGGCGGCGUGCUUAACACAUGCAAGUCGAGCGAAGCACUUUACUUGGAUUUCUUCGGAAUGACGAGUAUUGUGACUGAGCGGCGGACGGGUGAGUAACGCGUGGGUAACCUGCCUCAUACAGGGGGAUAACAGUUAGAAAUGACUGCUAAUACCGCAUAAGACCACAGUACCGCAUGGUGCAGAGGUAAAAACUCCGGUGGUAGGAGAUGGACCCGCGUCUGAUUAGCUGGUUGGUGGGGUAACGGCCUACCAAGGCGACGAUCAGUAGCCGGCCUGAGAGGGCGACCGGCCACAUUGGGACUGAGACACGGCCCAAACUCCUACGGGAGGCAGCAGUGGGGAAUAUUGCACAAUGGGGGAAACCCUGAUGCAGCGACGCCGCGUGAAGGAAGAAGUAUUUCGGUAUGUAAACUUCUAUCAGCAGGGAAGAAAAUGACGGUACCUGACUAAGAAGCCCCGGCUAACUUCGUGCCAGCAGCCGCAGUAA